GUCUACAGCCAUGCCAGCCUGAACAUGCCCGCUCUCUUCUGAUCUCGGAAGCUAAGCAGGGUCGGGCCUGGUUAGUACUUGGAUGGGAGACCACCUAGGAAGACCAGGUGCUAUAAGCU
rnacentral:rRNA from 1 species